GGCCAGACUCCUACGGGAGGCAGCAGUGGGGGAUAUUGCACAAUGGGGGGAACCCUGAUGCAGCGACGCCGCGUGGGUGAAGAAGUAUUUCGGUAUGUAAAGCCCUAUCGGCAGGGAAGAAAUUGGACGGUACCUGACUAAGAAGCCCUGGCUAACUACGUGCCAGCAGCCGCGGUAAUACCUAGGGGGCAAGCGUUAUCCGGGUUCACUGGGUGUAAAGGGAGCGUAGACGGCCAUGCAAGCCUGGAGUGAAAGCCCGGGGCCCAACCCCGGGACUGCCCUUGGAACUGUGCGGCUAGAGUGCGGGAGGGGCAGGCGGAAUUCCUGGUGUAGCGGUGAAAUGCGUAGAUAUCAGGAGGAACACCGGCGGCGAAGGCGGCCUGCUGGACCGCGACUGACGUUGAGGCUCGAAAGCGUGGGGAGCGAACAGGAUUAGAUACCCGGGUAC
rnacentral:rRNA from 1 species